AUUGAACGCUGGCGGAAUGCUUUACACAUGCAAGUCGAACGGUAGAGGGGGCAACCCCUCGAGAGUGGCGAACGGGUGAGUAAUAUAUCGGAACGUGCCCAGUCGUGGGGGAUAACGUAGCGAAAGUUACGCUAAUACCGCAUACGAUCUAAGGAUGAAAGCGGGGGAUCGCAAGACCUCGCGCGAUUGGAGCGGCCCAUAUCAGAUUAGGUAGUUGGUGGGGUAAAUGCUCACCAAGCCAACGAUCUGUAGCUGGUCUGAGAGGACGACCAGCCACACUGGAACUGAGACACGGUCCAGACUCCUACGGGAGGCAGCAGUGGGGAAUUUUGGACAAUGGACGCAAGUCUGAUCCAGCCAUUCCGCGUGCAGGAUGAAGGCCCUCGGGUUGUAAACUGCUUUUGUACGGAACGAAAAGGUCUCUCUUAAUACGGGGGACUCAUGACGGUACCGUAAGAAUAAGCACCGGCUAACUACGUGCCAGCCGCCGCAGUAAUAC
rnacentral:rRNA from 1 species